rnacentral:pre_miRNA from 1 species
AGAAUUGCCGCGUCGUCUUUGGCGUUGGAAAGAGAACGACAUUGUUUUAAUUUUUCAAUAAUGUUACAAGAUUGAAUGGGUAAUCAUUACCAUGUUUACAGGAAAUAGCCCUGCGAGGAAUUAGAUUGGUUCGAAGUGAGUACAAUGAUAUUGAUGACGAUGAUGCAUUGGG